UAAGGUAACGGCUUACCAAGGCAACGAUGCAUAGCCGACCUGAGAGGGUGAUCGGCCACACUGGAACUGAGACACGGUCCAGACUCCUACGGGAGGCAGCAGUAGGGAAUCUUCCGCAAUGGGCGAAAGCCUGACGGAGCAACGCCGCGUGAGUGAUGAAGGUCUUCGGAUCGUAAAACUCUGUUAUUAGGGAAGAACAUAUGUGUAAGUAACUGUGCACAUCUUGACGGUACCUAAUCAGAAAGCCACGGCUAACUACGUGCCAGCAGCCGCGGUAAUACGUAGGUGGCAAGCGUUAUCCGGAAUUAUUGGGCGUAAAGCGCGCGUAGGCGGUUUUUUAAGUCUGAUGUGAAAGCCCACGGCUCAACCGUGGAGGGUCAUUGGAAACUGGAAAACUUGAGUGCAGAAGAGGAAAGUGGAAUUCCAUGUGUAGCGGUGAAAUGCGCAGAGAUAUGGAGGAACACCAGUGGCGAAGGCGACUUUCUGGUCUGUAACUGACGCUGAUGUGCGAAAGCGUGGGGAUCAAACAGGAUUAGAUACCCUGGUAGUCCACGCCGUA
rnacentral:rRNA from 1 species